AACGAACGCUGGCGGUGUGCUUAACACAUGCAAGUCGAACGAGAAAGUUUCCUUCGGGAAGCUAGUAAAGUGGCGCAAGGGUGAGUAACACGUGAAUAAUCUGCCCUCGAGAUCGGGAUAACCUGAGGAAACUUAGGCUAAUACCGGAUAAGACCACAUUUCAUAUGGAAUGUGGGAAAAGGAGUCUCAAUCUUCACUCGAGGAUGAGUUCGCGGACCAUUAGCUUGUUGGUGAGAUAAAAGCUCACCAAGGCAACGAUGGUUAGCCGGCCUGAGAGGGCGAUCGGCCACACUGGAAUUGAGAUACGGUCCAGACUCCUACGGGAGGCAGCAGUGAGGAAUUUUGCACAAUGGGCGAAAGCCUGAUGCAGCAACACCGCGUGAUUGAUG
rnacentral:rRNA from 1 species